AGUCGAGCGAGAUCUUCGGAUCUAGCGGCGGACGGGUGAGUAACGCGUGGGAACGUACCCUUUUCUACGGAAUAGCCUCGGGAAACUGAGAGUAAUACCGUAUACGCCCUUCGGGGGAAAGAUUUAUCGGAGAAGGAUCGGCCCGCGUUGGAUUAGGUAGUUGGUGGGGUAAUGGCCUACCAAGCCGACGAUCCAUAGCUGGUUUGAGAGGAUGAUCAGCCACACUGGGACUGAGACACGGCCCAGACUCCUACGGGAGGCAGCAGUGGGGAAUCUUAGACAAUGGGCGCAAGCCUGAUCUAGCCAUGCCGCGUGAGCGAUGAAGGCCUUAGGGUUGUAAAGCUCUUUCAGUGGGGAAGAUAAUGACGGUACCCACAGAAGAAGCCCCGGCUAACUCCGUGCCAGCAGCCGCGGUAAUACGGAGGGGGCUAGCGUUGUUCGGAAUUACUGGGCGUAAAGCGCGCGUAGGCGGAUUGGAAAGUUGGAGGUGAAAUCCCAGGGCUCAACCUUGGAACUGCCUUCAAAACUUCCAGUCUGGAGUUCGAGAGAGGUGAGUGGAAUUCCCAGUGUAGAGGUGAAAUUCGUAGAUAUUCGGAAGAACACCAGUGGCGAAGGCGGCUCACUGGCUCGAUACUGACGCUGAGGGGCGAAAGCGUGGGGAGCAAACAGGAUUAAAUACCCUGGGAGUCCCCGCCCCAAAACAAUGAAUGCCAAAACUUCGGGAAGCAUGCUUGUCGGGGGCCCCCCCCCACGGAAUAAAAAUUCCCCCCGGGG
rnacentral:rRNA from 1 species